rnacentral:lncRNA from 1 species
UUUUUUUUUUUUUUAAGACAGUAGGGCUGCUAGUAUAGAAAAUAGAUUUUAUACAGCUAGAAUGAAACUAACAUAGUUAAGAGGCUAUUACAGUCAGUAAGGUGAGAGAUGGUUGUGGCUUAGACUGAAGUAGUACCAGUGGAGAUGCAAGUAGACUUGGAAAAAGUUUUGGAAGUACAAUACAGUAUUUACCGACAGGCUACAUAUAGGAGGUGGAGAAUCGACAAUACUUCCUAGAAUUUUAGUUCGUGCAACUAAGUGGAUAGUUUCAUCAACUGCAGUGGGGAAGCCUAUUUGGGGGGUGUGGUGGAAGGAAUCCAGAAUUCUGUUUGGGAUAUGUUAACUUGGAGAUGUGUAUUAGCUAUCUAAGUGAAUAUGUCAAGAAAGCAGAACUGGGUCUCAGAGGAGAAUUUGGGAGUCAUCAGCAUAUAAGUAGUAUUUAUAGCCAAAGGACUGGUACCUCCAUGGGAGUGCCAUGCAAUAUCUCUUUUAAUUUUGAUAACAAUUCAAAGUAGGUAUUUUUCUUUUUAUAUAACUAUAAUUAGCUUCUUUUUAUACAUGAGCAAAUGGGAUGCUCAGAGAUAUACAUUCCAAAAGUCAACCAGCUACUAAAUAUUGGAGUUUGGGUUCAAAUCUGUCUGAUAGAGUUCGUGUUCGUUCUAUUGUUUUCUUGAAGCAUUAGAAUACAUGAAUUUCUGAGUGGAAGGUUUUUAAUUUUUUUGAAUGAAGAAUUUCUAAAAGGUCUGUUAAGUUUGCAGAGAAUGAAGCUCAUUCAGAAUCGAUUCCAAGUUUCUAAGUUCAAUAGUCUUUUCUGUCCUUAUGUAACUUCUCUGGAUCCCUCCUUUUUCUUUUUUAAAUUCUACUCCCCUGGCUUGUGGGAUAUGACCCUCCUUUCUCCCUAUCUUAAUUGCCUCUUCAUUGUUCCUUAACUAUGGCUAUAAUGUAGAGAUUUUUUGCCUUCUUUCCUCAUUUUACAUAUUCCCUUUACAAUUUCAUGUUUCCAUUGUUUCAAAUAUUAAAUAUAUGCAUAUGAAUUUAAAUUUCUUUUCUUCUACUCCAGACACGUCUCCCUAGCUCUAGUAGACUAGGUCUAAUGGUUCCAGAAAGCAAAUAGCUUGGUGGGUGAGGGUGGGAAAGGAGGCUCCCCGCCGUGAAGUGGUAGAGGAGGAGCCAAGUGCAGGGACUGGGACCGUCUCCUUUGUACAUUUAUUCCGUAUUUCAUUCAUUCACUUAUUUAUAAGGAUUUACAUGUUGGCUGGUCUUACGAGUUUUCAAAUCUAGAAUGGCAGACGGUGAUCCAGGUUGCCAAGAAGACUUCACGUGAACAUUUAUUUACUCAGUCCUCGGCCACACAAGCAUAAUGCGUAAAGGCAGAAUCUCGCUUAGUCUCUCAGAGAGAUUUAAACAAAUUUUUGGAGUGCAUCAGUUUAGUCGGACAUUCUAAAAGAAAAAUGGAAAGCAAAUCCCAUUACGGAAGGAGGAAAGCUGGCAAAUAAAGGACUGGAGCAGAUGUGACAUUGCAGCAGAGCAUGAAGAGAACAAGGUUAGGGAGUGGGAAGAAAACGAAUACACCUACGUAGGGAAAAAUGAAAAGCCGGGAGUGGCGCAUAUUAAAAAAAACAAAAAAACAAAAAAAACAACAACCCGCAUUUGCUAAAAAUCCCUGGUAAAAAAAGUCACCUCGUCCUGGGCGGACUUCACCUUCCGGCCCUCAAGUCACGGCGUCCUCAGAGUCCCUGAACGCCACCAGCCGCCAAGCUCGCCCCGCCC